AUACGGAGGGUGCAAGCGUUACUCGGAAUUACUGGGCGUAAAGGACGCGUAGGCGGUUUAGAAAGUCAGAUGUGAAAGCCUAUGGCUUAACCAUAGAACUGCAUCUGAAACUCCUAGACUAGAGUGAGGGAGAGGUUAGUGGAAUUAGUGGUGUAGGGGUAAAAUCCGUAGAGAUCACUAGGAAUACUCAUAGCGAAGGCGACUGACUGGAACUUUACUGACGCUGAGGCGUGAAAGCGUGGGGAGCAAACAGGAUUAGAAACCCGGGUAGUCC
rnacentral:rRNA from 1 species